UUGACUGCUUUGGAGAAAAAAUAUCCUCACAUUAACCACAGAAGAGAAACCCAUGGAGAGAAUCAAUGAAAGCUUCUGCACAGUGAAUCUGUCAAUAUGCCUCAGCUCUAUUCAGGAGGAACCACCUUUAGGAUGACAGUGGUUCAGUUUCCAUUCCCAUUUAAUCUGGGUCCUCU
rnacentral:sRNA from 1 species